CCACGGCUGCCAGGGCCCCGCGGCCAGUCGUCCGCCGAGCCUGCACCCCUGCGGGUCGUUUCCGCGCCGAAGAACUGCGACCGAACCUGUGUUCUCAGGCUGGGUCUGGAAGAUCUCUUUGAGGCCUGAUGCAUUCCGCGUUUCAUCACGGGCCAAAAGUGACUUAGAGGGUAGGGUGGAGUCCCGAGACGAGGAGCAUCAGGCAAGUCAUUUUAAAUUUAUCGUUCCCCAAAAUAAGUUCGCUCGCCCUAUUAAAAACUGCAACAAAAAGCCACCUUUUUGGUUUCUGAUAAAUAGCAACAAAGUAGUUAAACAGCAAUCUUUAGGGAAGAGUUCUCUCCAGCUUUGCUGGAGAGAAAACCGGGUUAGCUUUUGCUGUGGUUAAAAAAAAAAAAAAAAAAAAAAAGCAGCCAUUUGAAACUGCAGUGGAGGGCUUUCAUAACAGAAACAUUAGCUUCAUUGUAGCUUGUUGCGGAAAACAGGGAGCUUUUUAAAGGUGGUUCAAAAGCAUCGGUUGAGGCUCAACAAUUUUCCCUUUUUCCCCAAAUGCUGCUUCUACUAGCACGUUGGCCAGAUCAUAGAAUCUCCCAUACUAAUGCUUCAUCUUUUUAUUAAAGCACAGGAAACCCUAGAGUAAAGGCUUUGUCCAGAAAGAUGGAUGUGAAACUGAUGGAAAGUGACAUCUGGGAAAUGAUCCCCAGUUCUGCGUUCAUAUCUAAUGGGAAGCCACAAAUGCAGAAUCAUCCUCCCAAGACUGGGAGUAUGCAGAUGAGGCUCUCCUAGCAACGUGAAAUCCCCCACACUUCAGCCCGUGCCCUCUUUCUCUCUCGCUCUCUCUUGGAUCACUCACUGUAAGGAAGCUAGUAGCUGCCAUGUCCGAAGGCCGCCCUGUGAAGAGGAACUGAGGCCUGCCAACAACCACAUAAGUUAGCUUGGGAUACUUCCCCCUUCGUCUCUGUUAAUCGAGCCUUCAGAUGAGACCUUCAACCCCAGCCAGCAGCUGCCUCAACGAGAGCCCUUGAGGAAGAAGCAUCCAGCUAAGCUGCCUCGAUUCCUGACCCACAGAAACUGUAAAAGCAUCUAUCCUGGUCCUGAGGCCUCAGCACACGCAGGGGCGGUGGGGUCCAACCUCGGUCCUAGAAGAAGAGGUGGAAAGAAGGGCUUUCGAGCCUGACAGCCGGAAGAGGUGAGUGAUUUCAGUGCAGGUCUAAAACUAGAAAGAAAGGCUUGUGGUCCUGCUGCUGAAGAGCAAGUCGUGGACAAUCCCCGAUAAGAAUCGCCUCCACACUGCUUCCAGGGCUACAAAGAACAUUCUGUCCACGUGAUGGUAUCUCUCUCUCAACAUCAUUUCCUCUCUGACUGGAGCAAAUUAUUGACUUUGAAAACACAAAACAAAGUUUUAUGAAGCGGGAGAGAUGUUACACUCCUGCAUCCCUAACUAGGGCAGGCGUCUACUUGUGGUUGCCCCCCCGCCCCCGCCUCAGCCAGUCACGUACAAGCUGGCGAUCGUAGAGCCCAUUUCUGUUUUCUCUCCAGAGACGCUCGGCUCUGAUUUUUCUCACGUGCAGUGGCCACAGCUGCUGUGUUGCCAUGCCGUCAUCCGGUUGCUAUGACUUGUGAGGUUGUGGAUGUGCCAGAACGUGAAUCUAUUAAUUUAACAGGAACUAGGCUCAGCACAUAUAUUCCUUGUUAGGUCAUUUGCUUUGCUACCUAAACCACAUCCAAUGUGUUCAGCAACGGGAACAUUUCCUAGAGCCUGGCUUUGCAAAAAUGCCAAGUGCCCUGGAUUUUUGAGUCUGCAGCAGUCAGUUUUACGGCAUUAAAUUACUGUGGAGGAGAACACAAAGGCAUUCUGGCCCCGGGAUGCCAACAGGUCAGCUUCGGAGAAAAAUCAAAGGAGGGGAAAUAAAGUCUCUGGUCUUCAUUCUUUGCCCACCGAGGUCCAUUCUGCGGGAGGUAUAUGAACUAACUUCCACAGGGAUCCCACCCUGAGCCCAGGUCUCUCACUGACAAGGUCCAAGCUCUCCAACCCCAGAACUAGGGGACGUGUGCCAUGAAAAGAGAAACCACUGGCCUUUUUUCCUUCACUCCUUCGAUGAACACUUCCUGGAUGUCUGCUGGUAGCUGCGCUAGGAAUGCGGAGAUGAAAGGGACAAAGUCUCUCCCUAGUGGGAGAGAAAGACAUGUAAAUUACAGUGUGACAUGAGAAGCUUCACACAGGGCACCGUGAGAUCCCAGAGAAGGAAGCAAGUAAGUCUGCCUGGGGACAGGAAUGAUGGGCUGCCACCAGUGUUCUUCCUUUUCUGAAAAAAAAGACUAUGUUAAAAAUGAUCAGAUGCAUUGUACUAAGUAAUAAGUGUUGUUUGUGUAGCUUUUGGUUUGGUUGUUUGUAAUAUAUAUGUACAUAUUUGUCUGGGUCACAGUGUAAAACAUAUUCCCUAUAUACAGGCAAAGAAGCGUGAAAGUUCUAGGUUUAGAGAGCAAUAAAUACCCCCGUACACAGGGGACUUAUGACGGGCUUGGCCUCAAAGUGUUGUCCGGUUGUGUAGUUGAAGGAACUAGCCGUGACUUAAUCCUUCCAAAUUCUCCUCCCUUAGUGAAUCAAAGCCAAGCCUGAAGGACCAGCUCCCAGACCCCUUCCCCCCCAGGACUGUUAAGCCAGCUCUAAGGCAGUGAGAGAGUACCCACCCCCUUUCCAUCGGGUCAGAUGGUAGGAAGGAGAAAGAGGAGAGAGAGGAAGGUCAGAAAGGCAUCAUGCUUUUCCUCCUCUUCAGGUCUUAGAGGAAAGCAGGAUAGGUUAUGUCAAAGUGACCCUGGUGAUCAAGCCUAGGUCAGCAGAGAGGCUCUGAGGCUCAGCAUUCCUGAGUCCCCAUUCCCACAUGGCAUGGAUGUCACAUCGUGAGCAAACAGCCUGCCGUGUGACUGCCCCGGUGGGGCAAGACUACCUGUGGCAAAGCUCGGGGGAGGAUCAUGGGUCUGCACCACUGAGAACAGAGGGAAAUGAGCAGCAAGUUGCAAAGGGGAGAAGCCAGUGCUGGGGGUGUUGCUGUAGACCACAAGGCCACCUACCAGAGCUGGUGGCAGCAGAGGCCUGGGGACAGGUAGAAACCAAGAGGACAAGGCAGCUUGGCAUGGUGGUCAGGAAUAAGGGUUCUGGACUGCACAGUCACUGCCUGGCUUCAAGUCCCACUUCUGCCACAUACUAGCUGCGUGACCUUGG